GUGCUCAUUUCAGCAGCUCAUAUACUAAAGUUUGACCGAUACAGAGGAAAUUAGAAAGGCCCCUUCACAUAGUACACUUAUAGAAAUUCCCAAAUAUGU
rnacentral:snRNA from 1 species